UGCGUGUGGAUGGACGCCUCAGCUGCCAAU
rnacentral:piRNA from 1 species